rnacentral:rRNA from 1 species
UGGGGGAUAUUGCACAAUGGGCGAAAGCCUGAUGCAGCGACGCCGCGUGGGGGGUGAAGGCCUUCGGGUUGUAAACUUCUUUUGUUCUGAACAAGGCAUGCCUUUGGGGUGUGUUGAGUGUAGGGGUUGAUUAGCGCCGGCUAACUACGUGCCAGCAGCCGCUGUAAUACGUAGGGCGCGAGCGUUGUCCGGAAUUAUUGGGCGUAAAGGGCUUGUAGGUGGCUGGUUGCGUCUGUCGUGAAAGCUCAUGGCUUAACUGUGGGUUUGCGGUGGGUACGGGCUGGUUUGAGUGCAGUAGGAGAGGCUGGAAUUCCUGGUGUAGCGGUGGAAUACGCAGAUCUCAGGAGGAAUACCGGUGGCGAAGGCGGGUCUCUGGGCUGUUACUGACGCUGAGGAGCGAAAGCGUGGGGAGCGAACAGG